GACGAACGCUGGCGGCGUGCUUAACACAUGCAAGUCGAACGGAAAGGCCCCUUCGGGGGUACUCGAGUGGCGAACAGGUGAGUAACACGUGAGUAACCUGCCCUUGACUUCGGGAUAACUUCAGGAAACUGGGGCUAAUACCGGAUAGGAAUCCUUGCUGUAUGGUGGGGGUUGGAAAGCUUCGGCGGUUUUGGAUGGACUUGCGGCUUAUCAGCUUGUUGGUGGGGUAGUGGCUUACCAAGGCUUUGACGGGUAGCCGGCCUGAGAGGGCGACCGGCAAAAUUGGGACAGAGAUACGGCCCAGACUCCUACGGGAGGCAGCAGUGGGGAAUAUUGCACAAUGGGCGGAAGCCUGAUGCAGCAACGCCGCGUGCGGGAUGACGGCCUUCGGGUUGUAAACCGCUUUCAGCAGGGGCGAAGCUUGUGGUGACGGUACCUGCAGAAGAAGCACCGGCUAACUACGUG
rnacentral:rRNA from 1 species